rnacentral:rRNA from 1 species
UACGUAGGGGGGCAAGCGUUGUCCGGAAUCAUUGGGCGUAAAGCGCGUGUAGGCGGCCCGAUAAGUCCGCUGUGAAAGUCCAGGGCUCAACCCUGGAAUGCCGGUGGAUACUGUCGGGCUCGAGUCCGGAAGAGGCGAGUGGAAUUCCUGGUGUAGCGGUGAAAUGCGCAGAUAUCAGGAGGAACACCGAUGGCGAAGGCAGCUCGCUGGGACGGUACUGACGCUGAGACGCGAAAGCGUGGGGGAGCGAACAGG